UGGGGAAUCUUGGACAAUGGGGGCAACCCUGAUCCAGCCAUGCCGCGUGAGUGAUGAAGGCCUUAGGGUCGUAAAGCUCUUUCGCCUGUGAAGAUAAUGACGGUAGCAGGUAAAGAAACCCCGGCUAACUCCGUGCCAGCAGCCGCGGUAAUACGGAGGGGGUUAGCGUUGUUCGGAAUUACUGGGCGUAAAGCGCACGUAGGCGGAUCGGAAAGUUGGGGGUGAAAUCCCGGGGGCUCAACCCCGGAACUGCCUCCAAAACUAUUGGUCUAGAGUUCGAGAGAGGUGAGUGGAAUUCCAAGUGUAGAGGUGAAAUUCGUAGAUAUUUGGAGGAACACCAGUGGCGAAGGCGGCUCACUGGCUCGAUACUGACGCUGAGGUGCGAAAGUGUGGGGAGCAAACAGGAUUAGAUACCCUGGUAGUCCACACCGUAAAACGAUGGUCACUCGGUGCUGCGGGUAUCGACCCCUGCAGUGCCUUAGCUAACGCGUUAAGUGACCCGCCUGGGGAGUACGGUCGC
rnacentral:rRNA from 1 species